GACGAACGCUGGCGGCGUGCCUAAUACAUGCAAGUUGAGCGCUGAAGGUUGGUACUUGUACCAACUGGAUGAGCAGCGAACGGGUGAGUAACGCGUGGGGAAUCUGCCUUUGAGCGGGGGACAACAUUUGGAAACGAAUGCUAAUACCGCAUAAAAACUUUAAACACAAGUUUUAAGUUUGAAAGAUGCAAUUGCAUCACUCAAAGAUGAUCCCGCGUUGUAUUAGCUAGUUGGUGAGGUAAAGGCUCACCAAGGCGAUGAUACAUAGCCGACCUGAGAGGGUGGACGGCCACAUUGGGACUGGGACACGGCCCAAACUCCUACGGGAGGCAGCAGUAGGGAAUCUUCGGCAAUGGACGAAAGUCUGACCGAGCAAAGCCGCGUGAGUGAAGAAGGUUUUCGGAUCGUAAAACUCUGUUGGUAGAGAAGAACGUUGGUGAGAGUGGAAAGCUCAUCAAGUGACGGUAACUACCCAGAAAGGGACGGCUAACCACGUG
rnacentral:rRNA from 1 species